AACGCACGAGACCUGCGGACCUGCGGAAGGAUCAUUACAAGAAGCCGGCGCCUCCGGGCCCGACCUUCCAACCACUGCGAACCAAAUUCAGUUGCCUCGGCCGCCUGGCGGCCGAAGGAACGCCAAACGAACUUUGUUUGAAUACCGUCGAAAACCUCGCGAAUGCGAAAAAGUACAACUUUCAACAAUGGAUCUCU
rnacentral:misc_RNA from 1 species